AUCUUUGCAUAGACAAUCGGUUCAUAAACGCAAUUGAUUAAAAAGGGAAACAGGUGAAACUCCUGUACAGUCCCGCUGCUGUAAGCGAUCCUUUUCUAUGAAUAUGAACACGUAGCCACUGGCAAUUUGUCGGGAAGGCGUUCAUGUUUGGGUUGCAAGUCAGAAGACCUGCCGUUGUUUUUUGGUGUGC
rnacentral:ncRNA from 2 species